rnacentral:rRNA from 1 species
CCUACGGGUGGCAGCAGUCGAGAAUCUUUCACAAUGGGGGCAACCCUGAUGCUGCGACGCCGCGUGGGGGAAUGAAGGUCUUCGGAUUGUAAACCCCUGUCAUGUGGGAGCAAGUAAAAAAGAUAGUACCAAAUAAGGAAGUGACGGCUAACUCAGUGCCAGCAGCCUCGGUAAUACAGAGGUCUCAAGCAUUGUACGGAAUAACUGGGAGUAACGGGUGCGUGGGCAGGUUCGUAAGUCGCGUGUGAAAGGCGCGGGCUCAACCCGCGGACUGCACAUGAUACUGGGUGACUAGAGUGCUGGAGGGGGAAGCGGAAUGCUCGGUGUAGCGGUGAAAUGCGUAGAUAUCGAGAGGAACACUCGUGGCGAAGGCGGGUUCCUGGACAUUAACUGACGCUGAGGCACGAAGGCGAGGGGAGCGAAAGGGAUUAGAUACCCGAGUAGUC